AUAACCAAGAUAAUCCAAAUAAGGUGACAUUCAUAGGUUCCAGGCAUUAGGAUGUGGAUGUCUUACACACCAUCCUACCCACCCAACAUUCCGGGAACUCAUCUGUUCCAACUGUCGCUCUUCGGAUCACAUGGUCUCUCAUCCAGGCAGUUAAAACAGUCUCUGAGUUGCCAAGAGUCUUGACUAACAUCAUCCUCAUUGAUGUCAUCACCAUGAUCACAGCAAAUACCGGUACAGCGCUACGUCCGGACUCUUCUGACAGCUUUACGUGUGACAACUUGUUAAAUCCUCACCACGCUCCUAUGAGGAGAAGCCAACUGCCUUGUCAUGAGGACAUCUAAGCAUCCAUAAAGAGAGGUCUACAAGAUGAAGAAGCUGAGGCCUCCCACCAAAAAACAGCAUUAUCUUGCCAGGUGAAGUGGGUCCUCCAGCUCCAGUCAAGCUUUCAGAUGAACACAGUCUCAGCUGACAGCUUUACUGCAACCUUGUGAGAAACCCUGAAGUCAGAACCAGCCAAAGCCACUCCUGGAUCCUGACUCUCAGAAUCUGUGUACGCACACUUUGGGAACGUGAUGAGUUGGCUUUUCCCAGCCUCCUAGAUGCAGCCAGCCAGAAAGUAAUGAAGAUUCAUGGAUUUGCGGGGCACCUGGAUGGCUCAGUCCAUUAAGCAUCCAACUCUUGAUUUCUGCUGGGGUCAUGAUCUCAGGGUUGUGAGAUCCAGCCCUGUGUCAGGCUCUGUGCUCAGUGGGGAGUCUGCUUGAGAU